rnacentral:rRNA from 1 species
CUACGGGAGGCAGCAGUGGGGAAUCUUGCACAAUGGAGGAAACUCUGAUGCAGCGAUGCCGCGUGAGUGAAGAAGGCCUUUGGGUUGUAAAGCUCUUUCGUCGGGGAAGAAAAUGACUGUACCCGAAUAAGAAGGUCCGGCUAACUUCGUGCCAGCAGCCGCGGUAAUACGAAGGGACCUAGCGUAGUUCGGAAUUACUGGGCUUAAAGAGUUCGUAGGUGGUUGAAAAAGUUGGUGGUGAAAUCCCAGAGCUUAACUCUGGAACUGCCAUCAAAACUUUUCAGCUAGAGUAUGAUAGAGGAAAGCAGAAUUUCUAGUGUAGAGGUGAAAUUCGUAGAUAUUAGAAAGAAUACCAAUUGCGAAGGCAGCUUUCUGGAUCAUUACUGACACUGAGGAACGAAAGCAUGGGUAGCGAAGAGGAUUAGAUACCCUCGUAGUCCAUGCCGUAAACGAUGUGUGUUAGACGUUGGAAAUUUAUUUUCAGUGUCGCAGGGAAACCGAUAAACACACCGCCUGGGGAGUACGACCGCAAGGUUAAAACUUAAAGGAAUUGACGGA